GCUGGGUGUGGUGGCGGGCACCUGUAGUCCCAGCUACUCGGAGGCUGAGGCAGGAGAAUAGUGUGAGCCCGGGAGGCAGAGGUUGCAGUGAGCCGAGAUUGUGCCACUGCACUCCAGCCUGGGCGACAGAGCAAGACUCUGUCUCAA
rnacentral:SRP_RNA from 1 species